AAAAUAAGUCUAAUUGAUACAAAGCAAAAGAUGUCAGUCUCUUCUGGCUCGAUUAAAAAUGUAAAAACGUAAUUAGGAUUGUUUAUUUAACGUAGUUUUGUUUGAGUUAAAUUAAUUGGUAAAAUUGAACCUGAUUAAUCCACAGUUAAAUUGCCUUUUAGUUAGCUAUUGUGACCUAUCAAAGGUAACUACCGAAGAUGGUCAUCGAAGAGUUUGCUAUAAGUAAUUGUAAAAAGUGCAUUGGGAAUAAUCUGGAAUAUUUGGACUUGAAUAUAAAAGCUGAAAGCAUCAUUUGAAUCAAAGUGUCUCCAGAGAAAUAAUAUUAUCAAAUGGAUUAGUCAAGUUAAUGGUUCUUUUAAUGCGUCAAAAAAGCCCGAUGAAUCUCGCCUAAUCUCAUCUUUAACAUCUUUACAUGCACCCUUAAAACAGAGAGAGAGAGUUGACAAUGAUUUCAAUUGUUAAUAAUCUUGAUCAUUAAUAAUUAACAGUGAUUUUCAAAGUGGACACGUGUUAAUCUUUUCCUGGAUCGUCAUAAUUAUCGCCAUAUUUGCUGCAUAUACCAAUUCAAUACCUGGUAAUGGAUUCGCGACUCCUUUUAUAAAAAAAUUUUCAAGUCAAUUCAACAUACGAUGUUUGACAAACUCUUCAACCCACUAUCAACACAAACACGAACAAUAUGCAAUAACUUCCGUUAUGAUUUCAAUAGAUGUUAACAGAAGUAGUAGAAGCAGCAAUUGAAUUGUCAACAAUCUAAAGCCACAACCUGUUAAAGUAAAUAAACCCUGAGAUUUCACCAUCUAAUGUGGUUUCACCGUCAUCAAGCCUGUCUUUGUGUUCCUACUCUACAUUUGCCAAUCAUUCUUCCUGUUAAUAUAACAAGUAGGUUCGCAAAAUAUUCAAACAUGGAUGUAAAAGAGCAAACAGAUGGAAAUGGUUAAUGUUCAUGAUUUCAGACUGAAUCACACCAAAAUCAAUCCCAAAGUGACCCUAAAGUGACCUUUCCAUUCUCAAUGAAACAUUUUGGACUUACGGACUCUGAGAUUUUGUUUUAUUAACCAUUAUUGAUAAACAAAUGGAUGAAACUAGAUUGAAAAUAAUGGACAUAAAAAACAGCAAUAAUCACCAUAAUCGUCAUCAAUGAUUACAAUAAUGGCUUUUUCCACUAAUAACGCAAUGUUUAUGUGAAUGGUUAUGAUUACAAUAACAAUCUUGAUAAUAGUAAUAAUCAUAAUAAUAUCAACAUGAGGUCAACUCGAGUGACUUGGUCAGUCUAGAUUAACAUUGAAAACGCGAAAUGUUUAAAUAGCCACAAGUCAAUAUGUUUACAAUAGAGGACAAAUUUUUUAGUCUUGUAAAUUUUGAUUCCUUGCAGAUAUUUUUUUGAUUAUUCCUGUUAUUAUGGUAAUAAUAUAAUCAUAAUCAUUUUAAUACUCAUCAUUCUUAGCUUUUCCAUAACCUCCCAUUACCACCCAUUUACCCUCCUUCAAUCCUCCUUUUAUCUCACCAAUAAUGAAGAUAUAAUAAGAAACUUCACUCCAGGGUUACUCAACUUACUUCAACUACAUAAUACAUAUUCAAAUAAUCACAGCUUAAAUAUCAAUGUUGUUGUCGAAAGAUGAAAAGUAAAUGUAAAAGUGAAACUCACUUUUGUUGAUAUAUUUUUUUUGUAGAAGACCAAAAACAUGACAAGCAAAAGUGUCCUUUCAAGCUUAAACAUCAUGUAUAUUUUGUUAGUUGAAUGGUCAUGGUAAUGGUCAUCGAAUCUUAGUGUUGUGACUUCUUUGACUGGUCAAGUUAACACACUUGAACAAUAAAGACUUAAAA